rnacentral:lncRNA from 1 species
GAACACCUUUCUAUUGCUGGUGAGAGUACAAUCCUCUAUAACCACUAUGGAAAUCAAUAUGAUACUUCCUCAAAAAAAUUGGGAAUAGAUCUACCUGAAGACCCAGCUAUUAAUUACUGUUGGACAUAUCUUCAAAGGAUGCCUCAUCCUACCACAGGGCACUUGUUCAACAGUGUUCAUUGCAGUUUUAUCCUUAAUAGCUAGAAACAGGAAACAACUUAGAUGUCUCUCAACCAAUGGAUACAGAAAAUGUGGUACAUUUACACAAUGGGAUAAAUGGAAUAGAAAAAAAGACAUGAUGAAAUUUGCAGGCAAGUGGAGAGAACUAGAAAAAAAUCACUAUGAGUAAGACAAGUCAGACCCAGAAAGACAAACCUGAUUGGUACUCUCUUAUAAGUGGAUAUUAUCUGUAAAGUAAACAAUAAUAACGCUACAAUGCACAGACCCAGAGAGGCUAAGUAACAAGGAGGAUUCUAGAAGAGAUGAAUGAGUCUACCUGGGUGUUGCGGUAAAUCUCCAACCCAAAUAUGCCUCGGCAAUGAAAACACAACUCAGUUAAUAUGAAUACAUGCUGUGCGCCUAGAUUGGGCAGAUCUACUGCUACACUACCAUCUUCCACAUCUAUGAGACCCCUUAGAACCUGCGGUUUCUCCAGGCCAUGUGCUUCUGCUCUGCUUUUCUUCUUUUUCCUUGUCCUCUAGGUCCUUUCUCUCUCCCAUUUUCUUCUUCUUCUCUCCACCCCCCCUUCUGCUCCACCUUCCCUUUUAUCUGCCCAAUCAUCAGCUCUCCUUUAUUUUACAAAUUAAGGUGGGAAGCAGGUUUACAGGAAAUCAUCUGAGUGCUGACUCAUUCCUUGUUCACAGCCUCUCACAGGAGAAUGGAAUUAACAUCAAAUAAAAUUAGCCCCAGGGCUAUCCACAACACCUGGGAAGGGGACAUAUAAUAGAUUAUCUAGGUGGGCUGGCAGUGGGUGGGAUGAAAACAGGGGGUAUCAAUUACCUAAUAGAGUAUGAAGAUAGACUAAUGAAAUGGAGGGGAGGAGGAUUUGGGGGUACUUGGGGGGCAAUGUGGAAACCUAGUGCAGAAGAGACUUUCUGGAACCUAGGAGGAUAGGAUGACGACCCUAGGGAGGACUCCUAGUAAUGGAAGAUAUGGAACCCGAACUGGCCAUUUUCUGUAGCCAUUAUGACUUUUCAAAUUGUAAUACUGAAAUACACGGGAGGCCCUGAUCCUAGUAGGAUAAUGUCUGAAUUAGAUAUGUUAGCAUGAUCAAGAAACCCAUGAAGAGGUAAAAAUCUGAGGCUCACCUCUAUCAUGCUGAAUCAAACGCUGAGAGGGAGAUCUGGCAAUCUUUGUGGCAAUAAACCAUGUGGGUGACUACAAUACACUUUAAACUUUGAAAACCAUGGAAUUGCAUAACUUUAGAAUACUUUUGUCUAGAAACUUCCAAGAAUCUGUGUGUAUGUAAAAUAAUUUAGGUCUACACCAAUGUUAAACAGGCAAAUUCCUCUGCUUGUAAUUAAAUGUAAAAAUUGGAUUCCAAACACAGAUGUAGAGGCAUAUGUAAGAGAAAGGGAAAAAGAACAUUGAAACUGUGGUAAAGAAAGUAAUUACACUUAAAAGGUUUUUGAAAUAGGCAUUUACAGAAUUUGCUUCCUUUUGACACUGUCAAAUGAACUUGGUGUUUCUGUCAUACGUGCAGUGUGGUGGAUGUUUCCACUGAAUGAUCAUUAGUACUUAUGACCUGUGAUUCCAUAAAAUAAUUUCAAAUUAUUCAUAAUUAUUAUAAUUUGAUUCUUAUAUUUAUGGAAGAGAACAGCUAAUCUGUUCUACAUGAGUGUACAUAUGGCCAAAAUGUUUGUGAUUGAAUACUUGGGCUUUUGGACUCCCAUAUAAGAAAAUAUACUUACAUGUAACCACUUCUGUUCCUUAUUAGCAUAUGCUUGACCUAACAGCCUGUCUGCUCUAUAUUUUUUUAGAGUAGAACAUUUUUUUGGUAGUGAUUAUGGCAGUUAUAUGAGUGUCAACAUUUAUACUUUACAGGGUUUCUGAAGGAAGAAGUUUUAGAAUAAUUUGCUUGUGGCUUAAAUAGGUUAAUGAUUAUAAAUAUGUGACAAUAUAGAAAAGUUUUGAUUUGUUAAUGAAAUGAUCAUAUUAAAUUUAUAAUACAAUGAGAAUCAAGGAAAGAAGUAAGAGAAUUUUCCUUUUUAUAUGUUUUAUUAUUACAAAAUCAUGUGAAGUGCAAAGGACAUUUUAGGAAGUUGUUCUUCAUCAAAUAUUUAUGAGUACCUAUUGAUAAUAACUAGGUACUAACAGAUGGUGGGGUAAGAAAAUUUGUUAUAUGAGGCUCAACUCUAGGCAAAGAACUACAGGCAAUAAAAGAAAUGCUAGGUAGGAGAAAUAGUCUUUCUUAAAAAAGGGAAUACCAAUUGGUUAUAUAACACUAAAUGGUUAGGUCACUAUCUAUCUAUCUAUCUAUCUAUCUAUCUAUCUAUCUAUCUAUCAUCCAUCUGUCUGUCUAUCAUGUAUUUAUCAGUGAAACCAACAUAAAAGGAACACAACAGCAAAGGAAAAGGAGACAAGGGAGGAUAUAUGGGAUAAAUAUGAGCCAAGUACAAUAGUGUGUGUGUGUAAGUGUCAAGUGAAGACAUCAUUUAUGCUUUAUACAACUGAAGAGCAAGAAUCAAAAAAAUAAAACACUGUAGAAAAUCAAAUAAGAGACUCAUAUGCUUUCCAUGUUAUAGAUUAGGAUUUAGGAAAUAUAAACGUUCAAAAACUUUUUUUAUGUGACUUUUGAUUAAAUGAAGUACUUGUUUAAUAAAGGCAGCAGGAAUGGUGAAAGUGACAUGUGGAUUGCAAAGAAAAUACACGAUACAGAUGAAAGCCUACCCUGCGUUUCAGAAUAAAGUUUGAUAGAUGUUUUAUUUCAAUGAUGAUCAUUCUGACUACUAUUUUGGUAAAGGAAGCUUGUGAUAAAAGAACAACAAUAAUAACAACAAUAAAAACAACAACAAU